GGUCACGUGAGGGCCGGGGGAGUUGGAGCGAUGGCGGCGGAGUCCGAUCCCUGUGGCUCCUGUCCCCACUACUCCCAACCACCUUCACUCCAUCCAUCAAAGUCCCACUUAGUCUCUUCACUGUGAACUUUGGAAAGAAUGAAAGAAAGGAUGCGUUGUCAGUUGACCCUGGAUGGAUGCCAGGCACCCACCAAAUCUGCUCUCUCACUCCCCUCCAGAUGGACAGGAGAGACGAAAUAGAAUAAAGGCUUCAUGGGUUGAGAUAAGGACUGGGACAGAUCACGCAGCAAAUGCCAUCAUAGGAAAAACAGCUUGGGGAGAGGAGUUGUUCCCCUGUUGUGCCAGGGGUCCCUCUUGGAGACGCUUCUCCAUUAACUUAUCCAAGGCAUUGCCACCAUUUCUAACUGGCCCAGCCUUGGCCAGUGGCCGGUCUGUCUUGAAGCCAGCUGGUGUUGACUCUGCAGGACAUGGAGGAGCAGCUGCUUCAAGCAGCCUGUCACAGAAGGUACUCCUAAAGUCCCCCUUUACCAAAACCUGGCAAGGGAAACCUAGAAUAAGUAUGUGACCCAGUGACCCAACACCUGUGUGCUGCACUCUGACAUCUUUUAUCCAAUCACUUACUACCACCCAAAAACCCCUAGGAGAAGAACAUGAAGAAGAAAGAAGAAGGACAAGAGACAACACCCUAAAUCCUCCAUCUUGUCUCCUGUUCUCUAAACUAACUUUUUCACCCAGUGAUUUAAGAAACUUUCUAAUCUACACACUUACACUUCUAGCUUUUUCUAUCUAACUUUAACAUUUGUUUUCAUGUAUCACUAUGAAAACAUGCUGUCACGAUCCGCAAGGUGGGAUUCGUGAUGUGGUUCUUUUAGUCGGUCUUAGAGUACAAAAGAUUAUCAGCAAACCAAGGACUUAAACAGCAAAACACACUUUAUUGAGUGCUCAUCAGCACUAAUAUGCGAUAGAGAGAGAGAAAGAAGAAAGCAAAGCAUAAGGAAAAGAGAGUAAGGGGAUUAUAGCUACCAACGUCGAAGUCCACUCAGCCGUCCAACGAUGCAGAGUCUUCUGUCCGUUGGGGAGAUCUCAAAGGAAGGUAAGUUUGGGGUAUUAUUUUAUAGUCUUUUGCAAAGCGAGGGGCGCAGGGCCAAAAACAGAGGAGAUUGAUGAGCAUUGUGAUGAAUUCCAUUGCGCAGGGGACAGGUGUAGGGUACAGAGCGAUCCAUGUCGUGCAAGUCUUUGCUCACCAGCAGGAAUGAGAGCCAUGAGUCGUGGAAAACCCGCUGCGCAGGUUACCAAGCCUCUGCUCACCAGCAGGAAUGAGAGCAGUGUACUGUGCAACCACCUGCAAACAAUCACUUAGCAAACAUCCACCUCACCUAGGCCCAAACCCCCAAGCCAAGUCCCUUGUGAUAUUCAGGGUCUCAGUCUCUGUCCUUGAGACGGUUGUGAGACAGAUGAGGGAAUCUUCAGACCAUCUCUUACACAUGCUCAUGAAUUUCAUAUUAUAUGAAAUUCAGUGUUUUUCUAGAGCCUAGAGCUAAGUAUUAGAAACAAGGGCACACACUCUGUAUCUCAGACUCCAACAUCUAACAUUGUUGACUUUCUCAGCUUCUGUUAAUAUUUGUGAAUAUUUGAAUUGCAAGAUUCUGUAAUCAGCUUUCCGCUUUGUUCUUAGAUUUCUUAAUGGUGUGUCAGAACUGAAUGUAGGAUUUUGGGUGGGACCGCUUCAGUCUGAGAUGGAAUUGUCUCAGCAGCAGCUGGUUUUGCACAUCUGAGCAGAGAUAACAAGGAUUCAAUGAAAUUAAUAUUCUGCCUUGUUGCACAACCUGCAGUGGUUGGCUGGAGGGGGCAGUGGUGGGAGCUUCAUUCCAGCACAGUCCAAUCUAGAUUACACUAACAUAUGAAACCAAUUAGACCAUGAUCUUUUAAAUACACAUAAAAAUACACAUAGUUUUACUACCACAACUAGCCCCACUAACAGCAGUAAUUUUAACCAUAUACAUCUAUGUGAUCAUGACACUAGCAGGAUCUGGUAAAAGGGAUGAACUGGUAACAUUACCCCACCUGAUCUGUAUUGGGAAUUCAAUAAACUUUCAAAGUCCCUAAAAUUAUGAAAAUAAAUUUUUAAAACAAGUAAAUCCAAAACCCAAGCUAAAAACAAGAGUAUGAAAAAUAAGAGCAGUUACCUAAUAUGAAAGUACUCCAUGAGAUGAGGGGUGGGGUAAUGGCCGGAGCCCCCGGCAAGGGGCUGGCACUGGACACUGACCCUUUGCUGAGCAGGGGCUCGGGGCCCUGUGGCGCCUGGCGGGAGCUGGGAAGAGCGAGAGAGCCGGGCUAAACAUCAGCACUGGGGCGGGCACGGACUCGGAGGGAGGCGGCACUGCCGGAGGGGGCCCGCAGAGCCUCCCUGCUCCAAAGUCCCGCGUGUGACAGCGGGCAGCGGCCGGGAUCUUUGGGGCAGGGAGGAGCCGGAGGCGGGCGUUCCAAUUGGCUCCAAGUUUGGAGCCGGAUUUUGUCCCAAUGAGGGGCAAUUCCCGUGGUUGCUGAGCGCCGCCGCCGUCUUUCCUCACGAGCCUCCGGGCAGAGCUCUGUGCUCGGGGCCAAGGGCCGAGCUCCCGUCCGGAGGCUCCGAGACGGCGGAAUUUCGGGGAGUCCCGGUGUUGGCUGCCAGCAGAGCCCCAGCGCUGGGCCGGGGGAUGCGUGGGACCCUCCCGCGGUGGGGGUUGGGCUGCCCGACUCAGGCGCUGCAUUGUCAGGACAGGGCCACGUGGCGAUCACCCGGAAUUCCAGUUCCCAAAGUUUAGCCAGAUGGAGGAGGAGGCUACAAGGAAGAGGAAGAUGCCCGGACACUGAGACAGGCAAGGAGCUGAGGACAGAGAACAGGGAGGAGAAAUCCUUGCAACAGAACCUCGUGGAAGAGGCCAUUUUGAGCAGCUCCACAGCUCAGGAAUCCAGCAGGGAGGAAAAGUCCCGGAGAUCCUGCAUGAGGAGGGGCUGCAAAUACAGGACUUGAAGAAACAGUAAGUAGAGUUUGCAGGCAACACUAAAUUGGAAGGAAGUGCUGACUCCCUCAAGGGCAGAGAUCUUAACAAAUCCAAGAGAUGGGCAAUCAUCAACCAUAGGAAGUUUAAGAAGGCUGAAGGAACUUGCAGGACACCUCAUAGCAGCCUUCAGCUUCCUCCUGAGGGGCAGUGGUGGGGCAGGCACCAAUCUCUGAGCUCUGCUGACCUGUGACAAGACCUGAGUGGAUGGCUUGAAGCUGUGCCAGGGCAGAGUCAGGCUGGAGAUUAGGAAGAUUCUUCCCCCAGAGGGUGAUUGGGCACUGCGUGGCUCCCAUGGGAAUGGUCGUCGCCCCAAGGCUGCCAGAGCUCCAGGAGCAUUUGGACAGUGCUUUCAGGAACAGACUGGGAUUGUUGGGGUGUCCUGUGCAGAGCCAGCAGAUGGACUUGAUGAUCCUUGUGCAUCCUUCCAGUUCAGGAUAUUCCAUUAUUCACUGAAAAUCACUGGAGGAAGUGCCAUGUGCUAAACCACCAAGGGCAGUUCCUGGCUUCUGGGAGAGAAGCAGACACCACCUGCCUGCUUUGCUGCUUGAGAUCCCCAUGAAAACAUUUUGGGUUUCUAUGUUCUGAAAGGUGGCACUGCCUGCAUAGCAGUGCCUUCAGUUUACCACUCUUUGUGUCUGGAGUUGACCCAGGAAUGUCCCAUGGUAGCGUGCUCCAUUCCUACAGUCACUUCCAUACCAGGACCAGACCUGGAGUGUGGGGAGCAAGCUCCAGAUCCAAGCACCAUCUUCUCAGACCACAGAAUAUUAAAGCAUCUCCUUGGGAUUGCCAGAGGAAGGGGAAAUUUGGGGCAAGGGGGGGACACAGCAACACCCCAAAAAGCCCCCCAAAAUGUCCCUCUGCCCUCCCCAAACCAGCCCAUGUUUACCCAUAAAGUGGCUUCAAACUGCCCCAUAACUUUUGCAUGGGGUGGAGGGAGGCAUCAGGACCAUUCCCCCACCUUCCCUGUGUCUUAGCAGCUCUGUGCCCAACCGGGAGGAAGAAUGGGGCUGGGGGUGUGUGGGGGGGUCUCCCUGUUGGAAAUGAUACAACUUCAACAUUUUCAUAAUUUAAAAUUCACCGUAUAACCCAUCAGCCCCCAAACCAUCCCCAUCACCCUCCACCCAUCAUCAUAACCCCAAAGUUCAUCACUGCCCACCCAUCACCCCAUAUCACCCCCCCAUCAUCAUCAUCACCCCAAAAUUCAUCAGCCCCCACCCAUCACCCUACCAACUGUCCCCAUAAUCCCCCAAUCCAUCAUAAUCAGCCCAGAAUUCACCACCCCCACCCAUCUUCAUCACCUGCACCUAUCACCCCAUAACCCAUCACCCCCUUAACCAUCCCCAGAACCCCCCACCAUCAUCAUCCCAAAUGUCAUCACUCCCCCACCCACAAUCACCCCAAAAUCCAUGCCCCACCCCAUAACCCCUUCCCCCCCACUCCAUGCUCCCCUCUCCUGCCCCUUCCUGCGUCCCCAGCUCUGCCCUGGCUCUGCUGUCACCAUGUCCCCCUCUCCUGCCCAGUGGUGCAGGUACCGCUGCAGGGGUGGCCUCAUCCCCUCGCAUCCCCUCAGGUCUCUGCGGCUCCUUGGACACCUUGGAGGGGGCGGAAAACACCGUCUGGAACAGCGACCAGUGCUCGCUGGCCUUGGGGACACCCCUGUCACUACCCUUGUCGCCAUUGGUGUCGGGGUGGCUGUCGGAGCGUUACCAGCCCUGCAGCCAUGUCCAGCACUGGCUCCCUGGGGACACCCCGCUCCUUUUGGGGUCCCCUCCAGUGCGCCACUUGUAGGUCUUCAGUAGGGUGGGGGGCUCGGGGGUGGCCGGGCCUGGCUUCCACCUCCAUGUGUGGUGGGAGAGAGUCAGUUUUGGGGGCUUCAGAGGGUAGAUUUAGAGGGUGGUGGGAAGGGGAGAAUCAUUUGGGGGGAUCCAUGGGGUGGAUUUGGGGGCGGUUAAUUUGGGGGGAGUAAUUUUGGGGGUUGGAUUUGGGGGGUGGUGGGAUGAGGGGAGUCACUUUGGGUAGUCCAUGGGCUAGAUUUGGGGUUGGUAGGAUUGGGAGAAUCAUUUUGGGGGUUGAAUUUGCGAUUGAUCGGAUGGGGAGAAUAAUUUUGAUGACUCCAGGGCUGGAUUUGGGGGUGAUGGGAUGGGGAGAAGCAUUUUGGGGUUGGAUUUGGGGUUGGUGGGACAGGAGAGGCAUUUUGGGGGCUGAAUUUGGGAAUGAUGGGAUGAGGAGAAUAAUUUGUGGGGGUCCAGGGACUGGAUUUGGAGGUGGAGAGGCACCCACAACCUGGCAUCCCCACUUUGAAGGGUCCCAAUUUAUGAGGUCCCAAAUCCCUGAGGUGUCCCUGCCCACCCAGGGGUCCCAGUUUUUUGAGUUCUCCUGCCCACCCAGGGGUCCUCAUCCAGUGGGUGCCCCCACAGCCCCGACCCCUGCUGGGAACAAGGGGACAGGGGAACAAGUGCCCCAGGUGCAGGUGGGACUGGAGGCGUUUCCGUCCAAACUUCCCCUACACCCUGCCUGCACCCUGGGACCCCACUUCACCCUCCCUUUGACACCUGCUCAGACGGGGGGCUUGGUGCCACCAGAGGACCCCUUCUCUGUGAUGUUCCCGAGGUGACACCUGCACUUUUUGACACCACCACCCACCAGUUUGUCACCAGCUCCCCAAAGCAGGGGAUGGUCCAUGUCUUACAGGAGGGGGGGUGAUGACAACAUUUUUGGGUUCCCCCCACCACCCUUACCUCCUCCCCCACCUAUGCCCCAGGAGGUAAUUCCACUGGGGAUGCACCAGUGACACCAGAGGGACACCAUGGGUCACCCCUUGAAGAGACUGAGGGGGUCGCAGUGGCUCCUGGAGUCCCUCCAAAAUGACAACUGGGGGACCCAGGAUGCUGCCGGAACAAUUUGGGGAGUGGGUUCUCCUUUGGGGGGGGGGGGGAAGGCAUGCAGGCU